GUCGUGACUGCGUGCCUUUUGAAGAAUGAGCCUGCGAGUUAGCGGUGUGUAGCGAGGUUAACCCGUGUGGGGAAGCCGUAGCGAAAGCGAGUCCGAACAGGGCGAUUGAGUUGCACGCUCUAGACCCGAAGCGGAGUGAUCUAGCCAUGGGCAGGUUGAAGCGGAGGUAAGACUUCGUGGAGGACCGAACCCACCAGGGUUGAAAACCUGGGGGAUGACCUGUGGUUAGGGGUGAAAGGCCAAUCAAACUCCGUGAUAGCUGGUUCUCCCCGAAAUGCAUUUAGGUGCAGCGUCGUGUGUUUCUUGCCGGAGGUAGAGCACUGGAUAGGCGAUGGGCCCUACCGGGUUACUGACCUUAGCCAAACUCCGAAUGCCGGUAAGUGAGAGCACGGCAGUGAGACUGUGGGGGAUAAGCUCCAUGGUCGAGAGGGAAACAGCCCAGAGCAUCGACUAAGGCCCCUAAGCGUACGCUAAGUGGGAAAGGAUGUGGAGUCGCAGAGACAACCAGGAGGUUGGCUUAGAAGCAGCCACCCUUGAAAGAGUGCGUAAUAGCUCACUGGUCAAGUGAUUCCGCGCCGACAAUGUAGCGGGGCUCAAGCGUACCGCCGAAGUCGUGUCAUUGCAGCAAUAGGGCCAACGCCCGCUGUGAUGGGUAGGGGAGCGUCGUGUGCCGGGUGAAGCAGCAGCGGAAGCUAGUUGUGGACGGUUCACGAGUGAGAAUGCAGGCAUGAGUAGCGAUACACACGUGAGAAACGUGUGCGCCGAUUGACUAAGGGUUCCUGGGUCAAGCUGAUCUGCCCAGGGUAAGUCGGGACCUAAGGCGAGGCCGACAGGCGUAGUCGAUGGACAACCGGUUGAUAUUCCGGUACCCGCUUUGAAACGCCCAAUAUCGAAUCAGGCGAUGCUAAGUCCGUGAAGCCGUCCUGGAUCCUUCGGGUGAAGGGAAGUGGUGGAGCCGACGAACCAGACUUGUAGUAGGUAAGCGAUGGGGUGACGCAGGAAGGUAGUCCAGCCCGGGCGGUGGUUGUCCCGGGGUAAGGGUGUAGGCCGAGGGGUAGGCAAAUCCGUCCCUCAUACAAGGCUGAGACCUGAUGCCGAGCCGAUUGUGGUGAAGUGGAUGAUCCUAUGCUGUCGAGAAAAGCCUCUAGCGAGUUUCAUGGCGGCCCGUACCCUAAACCGACUCAGGUGGUCAGGUAGAGAAUACCGAGGCGUUCGGGUGAACUAUGGUUAAGGAACUCGGCAAAAUGCCCCCGUAACUUCGGGAGAAGGGGGGCCAUUCCUGGUGAUCGGAUUUACUCCGUGAGCUGGGGGUGGCCGCAGAGACCAGCGAGAAGCGACUGUUUACUAAAAACACAGGUCCGUGCGAAGCCGUAAGGCGAUGUAUACGGACUGACGCCUGCCCGGUGCUGGAACGUUAAGGGGACCGGUUAGUGACCUUUCGGGGUUGCGAAGCUGAGAACUUAAGCGCCAGUAAACGGCGGUGGUAACUAUAACCAUCCUAAGGUAGCGAAAUUCCUUGUCGGGUAAGUUCCGACCUGCACGAAUGGCGUAACGACUUCUCGACUGUCUCAACCAUAGGCCCGGUGAAAUUGCACUACGAGUAAAGAUGCUCGUUUCGCGCAGCAGGACGGAAAGACCCCGGGACCUUUACUACAGUUUGAUAUUGGUGUUCGGUUCGGCUUGUGUAGGAUAGGUGGGAGACUUUGAAGCCCCAACGCCAGUUGGGGUGGAGUCGACGUUGAAAUACCACUCUGGUCGUGCUGGAUGUCUAACCUCGGUCCGUGAUCCGGAUCAGGGACAGUGUCUGAUGGGUAGUUUAACUGGGGCGGUUGCCUCCCAAAGGGUAACGGAGGCGCCCAAAGGUUCCCUCAGCCUGGUUGGCAAUCAGGUGUUGAGUGUAAGUGCACAAGGGAGCUUGACUGUGAGACCGACGGGUCGAGCAGGGACGAAAGUCGGGACUAGUGAUCCGGCGGUGGCUUGUGGAAGCGCCGUCGCUCAACGGAUAAAAGGUACCCCGGGGAUAACAGGCUGAUCUUCCCCAAGAGUCCAUAUCGACGGGAUGGUUUGGCACCUCGAUGUCGGCUCGUCGCAUCCUGGGGCUGGAGUCGGUCCCAAGGGUUGGGCUGUUCGCCCAUUAAAGCGGUACGCGAGCUGGGUUUAGAACGUCGUGAGACAGUUCGGUCCCUAUCCGCUGUGCGCGUAGGAAUAUUGAGAAGGGCUGUCCCUAGUACGAGAGGACCGGGACGGACGAACCUCUGGUGUGCCAGUUGUCCUGCCAAGGGCAUGGCUGGUUGGCUACGUUCGGGAGGGAUAACCGCUGAAAGCAUCUAAGCGGGAAGCCUGCUUCAAGAUGAGUAUUCCCACCUCCUUGAGAGGGUAAGGCUCCCAGUAGACGACUGGGUUGAUAGGCCAGAUGUGGAAGCCCGGUAACGGGUGGAGCUGACUGGUACUAAUAGGCCGAGGGCUUGUCCUC
rnacentral:rRNA from 1 species